UACGUAGGGCGCAAGCGUUGUCCGGAAUUAUUGGGCGUAAAGCGCGCGUAGGCGGCCGCUUAAGUCGGAUGUGAAAGCCCCUGGCUCAGCUGGGGAAGUGCACCCGAAACUGAGUGGCUUGAGUACUAAAGAGGGUCGCGGAAUUCCCGGUGUAGAGGUGAAAUUCGUAGAUAUUGGGAGGAACACCGGUGGCGAAGGCGGCCAUCUGGGAUAACACUGACGCUCAUGCACGAAAGCGUGGGGAGCAAACAGG
rnacentral:rRNA from 1 species